AUGUUCUCUCCAUCAUCUCUACUGCUCCUGCUGGCAGCUGCUUCCUGUGGACGCUGUUAUGAACUGAGUCAGCCUGGAUCCAUGACGGUCCAACCAGGCCAGGUUCUCUCCAUCAACUGCAAGGUUUCAUAUUCAGUUACGAGUUAUGGUACAGGUUGGAUCCGACAGGCUGCAGGAGAAGCUCUGGAGUGGAUCGGAUAUAUCAGCAGUGGUGGCAGCUUAUAUUACAAUGAGAAACUGAAAAAUAAGUUCAGCAUCUCCAGAGACACGAGCAGCAACACCAUAACAUUACGAGGCCAGAAUGUACAAGCUGAAGAUUCAGCUGUGUAUUACUGUGCGAGAGACACGAUGAUAAAGAUCAACAACAAGCCUGUACAAAAACUCCCUCAGAACUUGAGGAAUCAUGAUUUACAGCUUUUCCAGUCAGGAGUGUUUAAGUCAUUUUGCACAGUGAAGUAA